GCCCAGCUCAAUGGAUACACCAGCGGACUUCUAAUCCGCAGGUCGAGGGUUCGAAUCCUUCCGGGCG
rnacentral:tRNA from 1 species